UACGUAGGGUGCGAGCGUUAAUCGGAAUUACUGGGCGUAAAGCGUGCGCAGGCGGUUAUGCAAGACAGGUGUGAAAUCCCCGGGCUCGACCUGGGAACUGCACUUGUGACUGCAUGACUAGAGUGCGUCAGAGGGAGGUGGAAUUCCGCGUGUAGCAGUGAAAUGCGUAGAGAUGCGGAGGAACACCGAUGGCGAAGGCAGCCUCCUGGGAUGACACUGACGCUCAUGCACGAAAGCGUGGGGAGCAAACAGG
rnacentral:rRNA from 1 species